AAUAAGGGAGUAUCGAGAGUAUCUCUCGAGGUUAUUAUCAUUAAGCGUCAUUAAGCGUAGGGAUAUAUAAUUUUGUUGAGAGUAGAAAAAUUUUUGGACGUUAUUUUCGCAUCUAAUUUAACUUAAUCUUAAACAAUUUCGUUAUAAUUCAGAGUAAAAUUCUCGAGAGUUAAUUUUUCGAUUUAAGAAUAAACGUUGAAAAGUUAUUCAAUGUAUCCACUUGUAAGAAACGCUUUCAAGGAUUUUAUCGUUAAACAUAUUUUAGCUUAGACAUUUAAGUUAAGAAUCACUGUCUAAUAGUACUUUUUUAUAUUCUCUAAAGAGCAGCUUUAAUGACAUUUUUAAAAUUUUUCGAUAAUGGAUACAGUGUCAUAAGAAUAAAAGUUACUGUUUAAGAGUUACUCUCAAUGUAUACACUUACGAGAAAUGUCUUCGAAACUUUUCAUUCAUAUUUUAACUUUGGUUAUUUUAAAAGUGCAAAUAUAUGUAUUUCAAUAAUAAAAUUCUCGAUACUUAUUCUUCAUUCAAUAGACAUUGAAAGCGAUUGUGAAAAGUAAUCAAAAAAAAAAUACUCGAUUAUCGAUCACUACAUUAUUCUAAUACGAUUUCUUAAUUAAUAAAAAUUUAUCUAUUUUAUCUAACGUAAUCUCGAAGAAAGACAGCUAAUCGAAAAACGGUUACGCGAUAUUUCAAUCUCGCAACGAUUUGAUCUCGAGUAAUUAUAUAUUGAAAACACCUUCGAAACGACGUGGAAGGAAUGUACCGGUUGCCGUGCACAAGGUGUGGUACAGUAGCGCUGCCGCAGUGGGGCGAUCGAAUUAAUAUAAAUUUCGUGGCGCUUUUACCGCGAGUAUGUUUGAAUCGUGGAAUCAUAGAGGGCGUGGCGGACGCGUUUUACGUCUCUUUCAUUCACCGCUCCAUCAGGCGGCGAGAUAAUUGGGGUCGAAAUUCAACGCGGGUCGAGCACUAGGCUGGAAACUCGGAAAAAUGUUCCCACCCGUAUUUGAUUGCAAUUGUCCGGAAUAACGAAGCAUACUUGUCGUGCUCGCCCCACGUUCGACGUGUCGAAGAAAAGGAAUAAAACUGGUGAAUUGAAGAGAGGGGAGGGAAAAGAGAAUCGAUGGAUAAUAAACGAGUCGAAACGAUGUUUCGAAUGCAAACGACUGGCGCCGCCGCCGUUCGCGCAUCACACCGGUUAUACUUAUUUUCUUUUCGACGAGGCAAGAUUAUCUCAAGACACGAAGUGACCUACAGACCGUAUUUUGGCGCCCGUCCAAGUUCGUCUUGGAAUCAGGGGCAAUAUAGUACCAAGGUCGUAUUGUGUGAACGGAAUUAUCUGUCCUCGUGGAUGACACGACUGCAUUGCGCCAAUUACAGUAACCGUUCGAUCGCCCCUUGAAAAAUUUCCGAUCCGUUUCUUGUCGGAUCGAUCAUUUCGUCCUCCUCCUCCUCCUCCUCCUCCUCUUCUUGUUCCAAGUAUCACGGUGUAUCAUGAAAAUUUUUCAUGAGAAUCUUGAGGCGAGAAGUGUGUGGUAUAUUUUGAUAGAAUUUUUCGCUAGUUUAUUAUAUUUAGCGUAAUAAAAAAGAGAAAAAUUGUAGGGUGUAAUAGAGAUGUUAUAUUAAGUUGGAGAUUUACUUUUGUGCAAUAAGAAAUGACAGAUAUUUUUUCAUUGUUUCUUCUUGAAGUGAAAAAAUAGUUUGAAAUUUGAAACAAGUAUAUUCUUAAUGUUGAAACGAAGCGAUAAUUUUGGAAAGAAAAUUUUUUUUAAUCUCCAUGAAACUGAUAAAAAUGAAUUUUGCAAUGUUUUUGUUGCAAAAAGAUUGGAUUCGUGAUUGAAAGCUGAUUAUAAUUGAUGCUCUUUCUUUCAUCGCAUAUUACACAAAUAUAGCGAAUCGGAAAAAGCUUCGAAUCUUACAAGAAAAUUCACUUAACUCUGAAAUUCGAAUCUCAAGGAAAAUUUGUACAUGUAGAUCAUAAUGGAUUCUGAGAUAAUUUUUCCCAAUGGAAAUUCUCCUUAUGAAUAGUUUUCUAUUCAUUUUUAUUUUCUGAAUCAUUCGUUAUAUGUUGAUUGAAUCAUUUCUGAAAAUAUACUAUAAAAUGCUUUUAUAAAUAUAAUACGUGGAAUUGUACGAAAUUAGUUGAUAUAUGAUCACUAUUAUAAAUAGAUGCAAUUACAAAUUAUGUAACUAAAAUUUAAAAAUUGUAUAAUAUUUAUUUCGUCACGAAAUACGAUAAUUAGUGUUCAAAUCAAUAUACACUUUUAUAUAAUUUUCUUUACAUUUAUAGUUUUAAUUAUAUUCUUCAAACAAUCUCUCUGUGAAAAGUAUUGAAAUAUUUGUAAUUACUGUAUAUAAUUUCGGAAAGUUCAAAAUCAGGAUUGAAAUAAAUUUUUAUUCAAACAUAAUUUCUAUUUUAUCCUUUAUAUUAAAUAAUUAUUACGUUUUACAUUAUUAUAUUUUUAAUAAUAUUGAAUAAUAAAAAUUUGAGAAAUUAAUUAUUCUAAUAUUUUUUUUAUUUGAUUUUAUUACAAAGAUAAAAAAUAUUUUUUUCGCAGUGUAAUUUCUAUACAUUAAAAAUUAUUUUUCUAUGUACAUUCAUUUUUAGAUUCUUCAAUUUUAAAUAUUCUAAUAUUCUAUUCCUUUUAUUAUCUAAUAAAAAAUUUAACAAGCAAAUCGUUUUGAAAAUAUUUUAUUUCUCGAAUAAAAUUUUAUUUCACUUUAUUUCAAAUAAUUAUUUAUUCUUUUCAUUUUAAUUAAUAAAGUCUACGAAUCCACUCGAAGAAACGAAUUUCGUAAAGGGAUUCAUAAAAGCGAAAGGGGAGAGGCGAUCGAAAGACGAUUUCCGUGAGAAAUCAUGGCCACUCGUGGACGUUCGAUAACGAGACU